rnacentral:misc_RNA from 1 species
GGAAGUAAAAGUCUAACAAGGUUUUCGUAGGUGAACCUGCGGAAGGAUCCUUACCGAGCGAGUGCCCUCUGGCUCCAUUCUCCCACCCGUCUCUCUUGUAUCUCGUUGCUUCGGCGGGCCCGCCUGGCGGCCGGCGAGGGGCAUCUCACUACCGGGCGCCUACCUGCCGGAGACAUCCCCGGAAUCUACCUGAAGAAAGACGUCUGACUGAAAUGAAUAAGUAUUUAAAAAUUUCAACAACGAACCUCUUGGUUCCGGCAACGACGAAGAACGAAGCCGAUCGGAAAAGCACAAGUC